GGUGGCUCAGUGGGAGAGCGCUUGCCUCGCAUGCAAGAGACCCUGGGUUCGAUUCCUCAGCACCA
rnacentral:tRNA from 1 species